UGCCGCCGCCAAUUUAAACGCUCGUUUGUUGCGAUCGGACCCGAUCUCAUCGUCCACCUUCCUUCAUAGCAGAGGAGGAGGGAAGAGAUGCUGAAGACCAGAGGAGCCUCCGACGCUUUCCUUCCGAUCCCGGGUUCUCCCAGCUCUAGCGAACACGCGACGCCUCUUAUCGUCUCUCCUCUCGUCUUCGUUCUCCCACUCCUCUUUCUGCCGAUUCGGAGCGCAACGAGAGCUCCGACGCUGGAGGGUCAGAUCGGCGGAUCA
rnacentral:lncRNA from 1 species